rnacentral:rRNA from 1 species
GGAGGGUGCAAGCGUUAAUCGGAGUUACUGGGCGUAAAGCGCACGCAGGCGGUCUGUCAAGUCGGAUGUGAAAUCCCCGGGCUCAACCUGGGAACUGCAUUCGAAACUGGCAGGCUUGAGUCUUGUAGAGGGGGGUAGAAUUCCAGGUGUAGCGGUGAAAUGCGUAGAGAUCUGGAGGAAUACCGGUGGCGAAGGCGGCCCCCUGGACAAAGACUGACGCUCAGGUGCGAAAGCGUGGGGAGCAAACAGGAUUAGAUACCCUGGUAGUCCACGCUGUAAACGAUGUCGACUUGGAGGUUGUUCCCUUGAGGAGUGGCUUCCGGAGCUAACGCGUUAAGUCGACCGCCUGGGGAGUACGGCCGCAAGGUUA